rnacentral:misc_RNA from 1 species
GAGAAAAACUCUAUCUCCUAUUUCAAAAUGUAGAGGACGACAAUGAGAGUUAGCAAACUGAGAUGUAUGUUGCUGGGCUUGGUGCAAAUUAUAUUGCAAUUGACAAAGAAUUUCAUCUCUGUCAUUGAGUGUUUGAGCUACAAAUUCCACCCGAGUCUCACCAUUUAGGUGACUAGUAAUAGAUGGAGGAGGUCGACCAUAUACAAUUUCAAAUGGAGACUUGCCUGCCGCCCCAUGAAAGGAUGAAUUGUACUAGAAUUCUGCUUAACAUAACCAUUUGGACCACAGCUUAGGUUGCUCGGAAGAAAAGCAAUGAAGAUAAGUUUCAAUGUUGCGAUGCAAAACCUCAGUUUGGCUAUUCAUUUU